UGGUAACAGUUUGCUUCUAAUCUUGUGCUCAGGAAAGAAUUUUCCUUCUUUUGAUGUGUUUUUGCUAAAUGAGGAAGAACUUCAACGUUUAAAGAACUCUGGAAAAAGAAACCACACGGAUGUUUCUGAUGGAGUCCGAUGUUUCCAGCCUGAUAACCAGGAAGCAGAACCGUCUGGCUGUUAUCUCCGCAGCUCCAGAGGACUCAGCUGCACGCAGAAAGUAAACAGUCCAGAACUAAUUGUUACCACGUCUCUGUCAGCGGGAUGCACGCCGCUGUUCCAGGAAGAAGACGGAGCCCGCCGUGAUUUAAUGAGCGCACGAGCUGUGAACGUGAGAGGCCGGUGGGCUCCGGAGUUAACGGGAAACGAGCUGAAAGAGGAGGACAGGGCAGCGAGGUGAAAAUUAAUCUUUUAGCUUUUUAAAUAUCUGGAAACUUCAAUGGUUGUGACUUAUUUCACAUAAAGGAAAAGUCGUUUUUAGUGGUUUAUUGCGCACAGUUUCCACUGAAAACUACAUUUCCUGUGAAAUAAAACUGAAUCUUUUGUCCACGUGGUUUUCGUCUCGUCACACAUGAAGGAGGCGAGGACGGCUCUCCUGAGGACGAUCCACAGCUGGGAGCUCUUCGGCGCUCUGAUUUAAGACUCUUCAUCGCUCGGCUGAUGCGAGCGCUGCGACCCCAGAGGUCAGACGUCCCCACAGACUCAGAACGACUGGUCCAGUUCCACCUGGACUGGACGAUAGAACCAGACCAGCAGAUGAAGGCCUCCGUUUGUCCCGGAGCUUCCCGCGCUUUGUCUUCCAGUGAAAAGAGAUCUGAGCGUCUUCGUCCCGCAGGAACCGAAAAGCCAACAUCAGAGGGGCGCAGUCCUCCGGCCAAACCACUGCAGGAGUGAUGAAGAGCAAAGCUCCUGAAGAGCCGACGCCUCCUUGUUGAACUCGGACUGCAGCGGACCGGGCUCGGGGCAGCCGGUUCUACAGAACCAGGGUCACAGGUUCAACAAGCUGCUGAGAUYUUGGAGUUCCACAGAAAAACUCUGUUUUAUUAUAUUCUGCUUUGAAAUCACCUCAGGUUCUUAAUAAAAUCUGCUUCAGCUACUGGA